GGACUUCGGCCAUGGGAUUGAAGCUUGCUUCGCCCUGGCCACGGGUUGUCUCGGUAUUGCACUACAUCCGAGUACGGCCCCUUCCCC
rnacentral:sRNA from 1 species